UACGUAGGGUGCAAGCGUUGUCCGGAAUUAUUGGGCGUAAAGGGCUCGUAGGCGGUCCAUCGCGUCGGGAGUGAAAGCUGGAGCUUAACCCCAGUCCUGCUUCCGAUACGGGUGGACUAGAGGUAGGUAGGGGAGAUCGGAAUUCUGGAUGUAGCGGUGAAAUGCGCAGAUAUCAGGAGGAACACCGGUGGCGAAGGCGGGUCUCUGGGCAGUAACUGACGUGAGGAGCGAAAGCGUGGGGAGCGAACAGG
rnacentral:rRNA from 1 species